CCUACGGGUGGCUGCAGUAGGGAAUCUUUCACAAUGGGCGCAAGCCUGAUGGAGCAACGCCGCGUGCAGGAUGAAGGCCUUCGGGUUGUAAACUGCUUUUAUAAGCGAGAAAUAUGAUGGUAACUUAUGACUAAGGAUCGGCUAACUACGUGCCAGCAGCCGCGGUAAUACGGAGGAUGCGGGCGUUAUCCGGAUUUAUUGGGUUUAAAGGGUGCGUAGGCGGGCUGUUAAGUCAGCGGUAAAAGCCCGGGGCUCAACCCCGGCGAGCCGUUGAUACUGGCUGUCUUGAGAUGUCGAGAGGUAUGCGGAAUGCGCAGUGUAGCGGUGAAAUGCUUAGAGAUUGCGCAGAACUCCGAUUGCGAAGGCAGCAUACCGGCGGCGAUCUGACGCUGAGGCACGAAAGCGUGGGUAUCGAACAGGAUUAGAUACCCGGGUAGUC
rnacentral:rRNA from 1 species